UGGGGAAUAUUGCACAAUGGGCGCAAGCCUGAUGCAGCCAUGCCGCGUGUAUGAAGAAGGCCUUCGGGUUGUAAAGUACUUUCAGCGGGGAGGAAGGCGAUAAGGUUAAUAACCUUGUCGAUUGACGUUACCCGCAGAAGAAGCACCGGCUAACUCCGUGCCAGCAGCCGCGGUAAUACGGAGGGUGCAAGCGUUAAUCGGAAUUACUGGGCGUAAAGCGCACGCAGGCGGUCUGUCAAGUCGGAUGUGAAAUCCCCGGGCUCGACCUGGGAACUGCAUUCGAAACUGGCAGGCUAGAGUCUUGUAGAGGGGGGUAGAAUUCCAGGUGUAGCGGUGAAAUGCGUAGAGAUCUGGAGGAAUACCGGUGGCGAAGGCGGCCCCCUGGACAAAGACUGACGCUCAGGUGCGAAAGCGUGGGGAGCAAACA
rnacentral:rRNA from 1 species